GACGAACGCUGGCGGCGUGCUUAACACAUGCAAGUCGAACGGAAAGGCCCUGCUUUUGUGGGGUGCUCGAGUGGCGAACGGGUGAGUAACACGUGAGUAACCUGCCCUUGACUUUGGGAUAACUUCAGGAAACUGGGGCUAAUACCGGAUAGGAGCUCCUGCUGCAUGGUGGGGGUUGGAAAGUUUCGGCGGUUGGGGCUGGACUCGCGGCUUAUCAGCUUGUUGGUGGGGUAGUUGCUGACCAAGGCUUUGACGGGUAGCCUGCCUGAGUGGGUGACCGGGCACAUUGGGCCUGAGAGACGGACCAGAAGCGUACGGGAGGCAGCAGGGGGGAAUAUUGCACAAUGGGCGGAAGUCUGAUGCAGAAACGCUGCGUGCGGGAUGACGGCCUUCGGGUUGUAAACCGCUGUCGCCUGUGACGAAGCGUGAGUGACGGUAAUGGGUAAAGAAGCACCGGCUAACUACGUG
rnacentral:rRNA from 1 species